CUAUACAUGCAGUCGAGCGGACAGAAGGGAGCUUGCUCCCGGAUGUUAGCGGCGGACGGGUGAGUAACACGUGGGUAACCUGCCUGUAAGACUGGGAUAACUCCGGGAAACCGGAGCUAAUACCGGAUAGUUCCUUGAACCGCAUGGUUCAAGGAUA
rnacentral:rRNA from 1 species